ACAGAAGCCAUGUGAUGAGGAAGCAAAAAAUGCUCCUGAUCUGAACUAGGCUGGAACGGCUGACAACAUCUCGGAUCUGGGGAAACCAGAUGGAAAGCACAAGGAACAACUCACUAGUAGUAAGAAAUUGUUUUGAUAUCUGAAACCAGCAAGAAGAACAAAGCAGCACCGCAGGGAUGUUUAUUGAAAGAAGCAAACAGAAUUUAGUACAAUGUUAAAAGUGAAACAUUAAUGUAGCCUUCUGAUGUGUCGUGCCAUUUGCCUCACUUAUAGUACAAUGUUUCCUAUAGUCUUUAGCUGUUGUUUCCGAGCAACGUUUCUCUUACUCCGAUGGAAUCCCAGAAACUAGUCGCUGACACAGGCGGCAGCGCGACAGUCACUUUUGCAGGGUCUGAGGCACACGACCAAUUGCAUGUCCCAGCAGUCGCGACAUUUGAAGCCCGAGAGCUCGCAGUCGUUCUUGCAUGCAAGUACGCCGUUGGCUAAACACGUUGUGCUGCAGCGUUGGUCACAAUCGCUGCACCGUAUCGCCGGUGCCGGCGCAGGCGUGGGCGCUACCUGGGGCCCGAGCGACGGGCAGCGGCCGAUGGAAGGCAGAACCAGGACGGCGAGAAUGGCGGCGAUGAAGGCCGCCUUGAGAGCGAGAGUAGUGGAUGAACCUGCGGAAGCCAUUGUUUGUUCUACGCGGCAAGCAAGUGGCUAGAUACUUCAGAGAGGAAGACACAACUAUGCAGCACUGCACAAUAUAACGUA
rnacentral:lncRNA from 1 species